rnacentral:rRNA from 1 species
GACGAACGCUGGCGGCGUGCUUAACACAUGCAAGUCGAACGGAAAGGCCCUGCUUUUGUGGGGUGCUCGAGUGGCGAACGGGUGAGUAACACGUGAGUAACCUGCCCUUGACUUUGGGAUAACUUCAGGAAACUGGGGCUAAUACCGGAUAGGAGCUCCUGCUGCAUGGUGGGGUUUGGAAAGUUUCGGCGGUUGGGGAUGGACUGGGGGCUUAUCAGCUUGUUGGUGGGGUAGUGGCUUACCAAGGGUUUGACGGGUAGCCGGCCUGAGAGGGUGACCGGCCACAUGGGGACUGAGGUACGGCCCAGACUCCUACGGGAGGCAGCAGUGGGGAAUAUUGCACAAUGGGCGGAAGCCUGAUGCAGCAACGCCGCGUGCGGGAUGACGGCCUUCGGGCUAUAAACCGCUUUCGCCUGUGACGAAGCGUGAGUGACGGUAAUGGGUAAAGAAGCACCGGCUAACUACGUG